rnacentral:rRNA from 1 species
UCGAGGGGCAUCAGGAAGAAGCUUGCUUUCUUUGCUGGCGACCGGCGCACGGGUGAGUAACACGUAUCCAACCUGCCCUUUACUCGGGGAUAGCCUUUCGAAAGAAAGAUUAAUACCCGAUAGCAUAAUGAUUCCGCAUGGUUUCAUUAUUAAAGGAUUCCGGUAAAGGAUGGGGAUGCGUUCCAUUGGGUUGUUGGUGAGGUAACGGCUCACCAAGCCUUCGAUGGAUAGGGGUUCUGAGAGGAAGGUCCCCCACAUUGGAACUGAGACACGGUCCAAACUCCUACGGGAGGCAGCAGUGAGGAAUAUUGGUCAAUGGGCGUUAGCCUGAACCAGCCAAGUAGCGUGAAGGAUGAAGGCUCUAUGGGUCGUAAACUUCUUUUAUAUAAGAAUAAAGUGCAGUAUGUAUACUGUUUUGUAUGUAUUAUAUGAAUAAGGAUCGGCUAACUCCGUGCCAGCAGCCGCGGUAAUACGGAGGAUCCGAGCGUUAUCCGGAUUUAUUGGGUUUAAAGGGAGCGUAGGUGGACUGGUAAGUCAGUUGUGAAAGUUUGCGGCUCAACCGUAAAAUUGCAGUUGAUACUGUCAGUCUUGAGUACAGUAGAGGUGGGCGGAAUUCGUGGUGUAGCGGUGAAAUGCUUAGAUAUCACGAAGAACUCCGAUUGCGAAGGCAGCUCACUGGACUGCAACUGAC